rnacentral:lncRNA from 1 species
GAAUUAGGACUUACCUAUGCUUAAAGGAGUUCAAGAGCAACUAGGCCUCAUGCCUUUAGAAUGCAAAAAUUUGUUGAAUAGCAACUAGGCCUCAUGCUUUUAGAAUGCUAAAACUCAAAGUUGAUCUCAAAUGGACUUUUCCUCCAAACUUAUUCUUUGUCCAUUCCCUUUAUUGUGUUGUGAACUUUUUGAUGUUUGCUUUU